rnacentral:rRNA from 1 species
GCGUAUACAAUCUACCUUUUACAGGAGGAUAGCCUUUAGAAAUGAAGAUUAAUACUCCAUAGUAAGUGACUGUGGCAUCACAGAUACUUUAAAGUUUCGGCGGUAAAAGAUGAGUAUGCGUUCUAUUAGCUAGAUGGUGUGGUAACGGCAUACCAUGGCAACGAUAGAUAGGGGCCCUGAGAGGGGGAUCCCCACACUGGUACUGAGACACGGACCAGACUCCUACGGGAGGCAGCAGUGAGGAAUAUUGGACAAUGGAGGCAACUCUGAUCCAGCCAUGCCGCGUGCAGGAAGACUGCC